rnacentral:rRNA from 1 species
CCUACGGGAGGCAGCAGUGGGGAAUAUUGCACAAUGGGGGAAACCCUGAUGCAGCGACGCCGCGUGAGUGAAGAAGUACUUCGUUAUGUAAAGCUCUAUCAGCAGGGGAGCAAAUGACGGUACCUGAGUAAGAAGCCCCGGCUAACUAAGUGCCAGCAGCCGCGGUAAUACGUAGGGGGCAAGCGUUAUCCGGAUUUACUGGGUGUAAAGGGGGCGUAGACGGCAGUGCAGGUCUGGAGUGAAAGGCGGGGGCUCAACCCCCGGACUGCUCUGGAAACUGUACGGCUGGAGUGCAGGAGAGGUAAGUGGAAUUCCUAGUGUAGCGGUGAAAUGCGUAGAUAUUAGGAGGAACACCAGUGGCGAAGGCGGCUUACGGGACUGUAACUGACGUUGAGGCACGAAAGCGUGGGGAGCAAACAGGAUUAGAUACCCCUGUAGUC